rnacentral:rRNA from 1 species
UGGGGAAUAUUGCACAAUGGGCGAAAGCCUGAUGCAGCGACGCCGCGUGAGGGAUGACGGCCUUCGGGUUGUAAACCUCUUUCAGCAGGGACGAAGCGCAAGUGACGGUACCUGCAGAAGAAGCACCGGCUAACUACGUGCCAGCAGCCGCGGUAAUACGUAGGGUGCAAGCGUUGUCCGGAAUUAAUGGGCGUAAAGAGUUCGUAGGCGGUUUGUCGCGUCGUUUGUGAAAACCAGCAGCUCAACUGCUGGCUUGCAGGCGAUACGGGCAGACUUGAGUACUGCAGGGGAGACUGGAAUUCCUGGUGUAGCGGUGAAAUGCGCAGAUAUCAGGAGGAGCACCGGUGGCGAAGGCGGGUCUCUGGGCAGUAACUGACGCUGAGGAACGAAAGCGUGGGUAGCGAACAGG